rnacentral:rRNA from 1 species
GUGGGGAAUUUUGGACAAUGGGCGCAAGCCUGAUCCAGCAAUGCCGCGUGCAGGAAGAAGGCCUUCGGGUUGUAAACUGCUUUUGUACGGAACGAAACGGUUCUCUCUAAUACAGGGGGCUAAUGACGGUACCGUAAGAAUAAGCACCGGCUAACUACGUGCCAGCAGCCGCGGUAAUACGUAGGGUGCAAGCGUUAAUCGGAAUUACUGGGCGUAAAGCGUGCGCAGGCGGUUUUGUAAGACAGAGGUGAAAUCCCCGGGCUCAACCUGGGAACUGCGUUUGUGACUGCAAGGCUGGAGUGCGGCAGAGGGGGAUGGAAUUCCGCGUGUAGCAGUGAAAUGCGUAGAUAUGCGGAGGAACACCGAUGGCGAAGGCAAUCCCCUGGGCCUGCACUGACGCUCAUGCACGAAAGCGUGGGGAGCAAACAGGAUUAGAAACCCGUGUAGUCC